rnacentral:rRNA from 1 species
AUUGAACGCUGGCGGCAGGCCUAACACAUGCAAGUCGAGCGAGCGGCGGACGGGUGAGUAAUGUAUGGGGACUGCCCGAUAGAGGGGGAUAACUACUGGAAACGGUGGCUAAUACCGCAUACUAUCGGAUAACCCAUAUGGGAUUAGCUCGUAGGUAAGGUAAUGGCUUACCUAGACGACGAACCCUAGCUGGUCUGAGAGGAUGAUCAGACACACUGGGACUGAGACACGGCCCAGACUCCUACGGAGGCAGCAGUGGGGAAUAUUGCACAAGGGGCGCAAGCCUGAUGCAGCCAUGCCGCGUGUAUGAAGAAGGCCUUAGGGUUGUAAAGUACUUUCAGUCGGGAGGCGUUACCGACAGAAGAAGCACCGGCUAACUCCGUGCCAGCAGCCGCGGUAAUAC